GUCGGUUCAGCUCGUGCCGUGAGGUGUUGGUUAAGUCCCGCAACGAGCGCAACCCCUAUUGAUAGUUGCUAAUAUUAAGUUUAAGGACUCUAUUGAGACUGCCAGCGACAAGCUGGAGAAGGUGGGGAUGACGUCAAAUCAUCAUGCCCUUUAUGACCUGGGCUACAAACGUACUACAAUGGCCAGAUACAAAGAGAUGCGAAGCCGCGAGGUGGAGCGAACCUCAUAAAAAUGGUCUCAGUUCGGAUUGGAGUCUGCAACUCGACUCCAUGAAGUCGGAAUCGCUAGUAAUCGCGGGUCAGCAGACCGCGGUGAAUACGUUCCCGGGUUUU
rnacentral:rRNA from 1 species